rnacentral:tRNA from 1 species
GCCGAAGUGGCGGAAUUGGCAGACGCAGUAGACUCAAAAUCUACCGCCCUUAAAGCGUGCCGGUUCGAGUCCGGCCUUCGGCACCA